UAUUUGUCUAGCUUUCCUUUUAUCUUACUUUCUACUUGCUUUUCGUCAAAUACAGUUGUCAUCACAUGCGCAGAUGAACUGGAUCGAUCUAUUCAGGUAAUCCAAUACUUUCAGUGCAACAAUGUGGUGAAACAGAAAUAUAUUUGCACAAAGAAUUUCACAGCUCAUGUGGAUGUAGCACUAAAUUUCUUUAUGCGCCGAGCUUGAACAGAACUCCCUGGUUGGAGAUGUGCGCUUAGCUUAUUAUUUUCUUGGAACAAUGAUUCACUUGAUUUUGGUUUGACGCAAACAUAUAGAUAGAUUUCACAAGGUAAUAGCAAGCCCAUGUGACCCUAUAUGCAAUCUCUGUUUGUAGAUGCUCUAUAUUAUGACAUUUAUCUAAUUAAAAUUUACUGAAAUAAAAACGGCUACGGUGUAACUUAUAGAUCAUUUUUUUGUAGGUUAAAUCUAGGAAAUCGUAUGUCGUCAAAACUCUAACAAGCCAUCAGAUUGUUAUGACAGUAUCGUUACUGCAAUGAAAAAUCACUUCACAAGAUUCAUAUUCUCAUUCUAAUGACCAAUACAAACAAAGUAUAUCGCAAUUUCUGUGUGUUGGAAGGAGAAACUCACACACAAGAAAAGCUAUGGUAUUUCAUGUUAAGCUUGCAUGUACAGACCUGCAAUGAUUGAGUUAGUUCAAAUUAUUGUGUGCUAUAUUACUAACCUGCUCUUUGUAGUUUGUAUUUAUGGACAUAUAUCAUGCUGUUUUAUGGUCAUUUUAAUAAUGUUUCCCUUUUCAAAUAUUUGUUAUGAUGAUGUAUAAUUAGGUUAGCUUGAAAAAGGGAGGAUGAUGCUAUUAGCUAUUCUUGAGCUAGGAGCUCCUAAUUAAGUGUCCUUUUAGUUUCCGUAUUACGGCUUUGUUGUACUGAUAGAACAGUAGGUUGGCACUUCUUCUGUCAUGUUAUUUUUUUAGCCAUUGCCCUUUUCUAGCUAAUAGUGUGGUACUAUUCUGUUACAAAGUAAAUUCUUUUCCGAGAUCACACUUUCAUAUUUGGUUUCGAAAAUAAUUGUCUUUUGUGAAGAUCCAUCUCUGAAUAUUUUAGUUAAUGAACAGCAGUCUUACUGCCUAAUCUUAAACUAAUUGUUUGAACUUUUCAUAGAGAUCAGAAUUGUACAUAGACAGCUGGUUAUAAACUUAAUAAUUGAUGACUGGAUGUUUUGUACAAAACUCUGCUUAAGUACGGUUUCAGAUGGUGAAUAAAUUAAUGAAGAACGUUUCUUAUGCAUGUGGAAUCACCUGGUAAUUUUCUUAGGAACGCGGUUUUCCUAUUCCACAGUGAAAUCUGAGGUUGCCUUUAAACUACAACAAAGGAACUGGUGAUGCUGCCAUUGUGUGGCCUCUUACGAUAUAUUUUUGGACCUGUUACUAGAUGGCACACGCAUUAGCUGCCAUAAGAAACAAAUCAUUUUUUAUUUUAAUAUGUCAGCUGAGACGCGUUUGACUACCUUCUUACUUAUUAUGCAG
rnacentral:lncRNA from 1 species